rnacentral:rRNA from 1 species
UUAAAGGGUCCGUAGGCGGGUGCGUAAGUCAGUGGUGAAAGUCUGCAGCUCAACUGUAGAACUGCCAUUGAUACUGCACACCUUGAGUAAUUAUGAAGUGGUUAGAAUAUGUAGUGUAGCGGUGAAAUGCAUAGAUAUUACAUAGAAUACCGAUUGCGAAGGCAGAUCACUAAUAAUGUACUGACGCUGAUGGACGAAAGCGUAGGUAGCGAACAGGAUUAGAAACCCC